ensembl:lncRNA
AGAGAUGGCGAAUACUAAUGAGCUCAUGUUUAUCCUUCAUUGCCUUCUUUUAGUCCACCAAAGGUGCAGCCUCUCUCCUCUAGCUCAGAGUGUUCCCCACAACCUGAGAAGAUAAGCCUGGCAGAUCUCACAGAGCCUGGCCACAUUCCAGAGCUUCUCCUGGACACUGCUGUCCCUCUCUCUGAGGAGGCCCCUGACGGCCCCACUGCCUCCCACCCACGGGACCUCCCAGAAGACCUGAUACAAGGCGAAGCGGCAGAAGUACCACAAACCAUAGGGGAAUCAGUCGGAGUAGAAGAAGAGGUGGAAGAUGAGGAACAAACAUGGGAACGAGAGCGAAAAGGAAGAGAAGAACGAAGGCAAAAGGAGCAAGAGGAAGCCAGGGAGAGAGAGCUGCAAGAACUUAAACGUCUGGAGCAGGAGAUGCUUUUGGAAGAGAGGGAGCAAGUGGAACAAGACAAGAAAAAAGAACCAGGAGGAGAUGAAGAAAAGAAGCAAGAGGCAGAUGAUGAAGAGGAGGAGUCUAAAGGUGAAAAUCCACUGGACAAAUAUAUGAAGAUGGUCCUGGAAGCCAGAGAGAAGCAGCAAACACAGGUGAAUACGAUGCACAUGACCUUUCUGACUGUAGACCUGUGGCUGCUGGCCUGACUGUUUGCCUUUUAUUUUGUUUGGCUUUUCAGAGUCUCGUAAGAGAAGAGGCAGGACACACAAGCCCAGAAGCAAAGAGCUCGUCUGAGGAGAAAGAACAC